rnacentral:ncRNA from 1 species
CUACGAUAAGAGCAAACUUAUUGAAAGAUAAGGACGCAAAGCCACGGGUCUAAAGCAAAGAAGCUAGGAUAGCCGGGCUGCCGAA